rnacentral:lncRNA from 1 species
AGCUUCGACUUAGCCGCCAUGGUCGCAACAACCCUACCGGAACGCGCGCGCUCUAGCCUAGCACAACAACGGCCUCCCAACCACCCCGCAUCGAGCUCGGGCCUAUAUGACCUAUGCCACCGCAACUCCGCGCCCUUGAUUCGGGCAGAUUGAUGUUAGCCACGGUCUUGAGCGCGGAAGGAGGGCGUGAAUGGAGAAAUUGGGGGGGCACCAUAGUCAAUUGCGCCCAGACACCGUCGGAGGGUCCGUGGGCCGUGCCCGGGAGCUUCCCUAAGCCGCCACGAUGGUGCUCGUCAAUCGUCUCGGGCGUGUGCGACGGUCGGCGAGCAACAAUUUCUCGCCGAACUUUGACUUUGCCGCACAACGACGCACCACCAUGGAUUGCGCCGGUAGCAUCUAGCUCCGUGGUGAGAACCUUUUUCCUUUUAUUCGCUUAAGGAGUAGAUUUCGUUUGGUGUUGAGUUUGGGGGCACCUGCGGUAGGAACUGACGACCAGAGUUGUAGCUCUGCUGCAACAUCACAAUGUGUCGUGGCUCAACUUUCCUCUACCCCUAUGGCUGGAAUUGGAUAACCCUCUCCACUCGUUAGGUCUUUCACAUGGGGUAGCACGUGUCUUGCGUGGGUCGCGGCGCCAAGGCUGUUGACUUACGUCGUCGGCGAUUCAUUCCGCCGUGGGCGCGGUGGAGCCACCAUGUUUGGGGCGAGUCCUCAGGUGGAAGACAGCCCCUGUCCGUUGGUUUUCCGAUGAGCGGUUGAGAUUGAGUCGGGCUAUAGCGUUUCAAGGAUUCGAUCGCGAUCGUCGACUUUUGAUCGGGUGGCCUUCCUGGGGCCCUAGUGUCCACCAUCGAUCUUAGGAUCAAUGGUCUUGAAGAAAAGCCCUAUAAGGUUGGGCCGAUCUAAUCUGGACCCCAAAUUUCAGAUCGGGUGGCCCAUGUCUCGUGAUACCCCUUCGCCAUGCCAUUUUCACUUAAGAGCCCUAGAGAGAAGUAGGAUUUAACUUGUCGUCCUCUGUAGUAGAAAAAAAUGCAAUAGUCAGGUCCCCAGCUUUAUAAUUUGGACCCUAGGCAUUCACAAUAUUAUGCUCAUAGUCCAAUCAGUUGUAUAAUUAGUAAAAAUACACUGAAACUGAGUUUCUUAUAUAAAAAUAAUUCCAGAAUCUCAUUUAAUUCAUAGAAAAUUCAUUUUAACUCCUUUUUGAUCCGGUCCAGUUGCAUUAAUUUUGUAUUAAUAUUGUUUAUCACCUGGUAACUCUGUUGUAUCCUGAAACAUAUAUCAAAAUUAUCCACUUAAUUUAUUGUAUACUCUUUGGAAAAUCAUAACUCUUUAACCGUAACUCCGAAUUUAGUGAUUCUCGAACCUGCGAUCUCGUUACGAUGCGUAGAAACUUAUCAUGCAUUCUAUUCUAAUAUUUGGUGUGAUGUUAAUUUCUCCUGUACCAUAUUUGUUUGUAUUGUGGCGAGUAGAUGAGCAAGCAACUGAGGACCCAGGUGCUCAGCAGGUGGAAACUAUUGAACAUGAGCUCGUUGAAAGCAAGUUGUGCCCUUGACCACUUUUAAUUACCCAAUAAUGUUCUCUAUAAUCACUAGGCAUGUUUAGGCUUAAUUUUGAUGGGACCCAAUAGGUCACCCUAGUCUGCUUUAAUUUGUGCCUUGAUCACCACUGAACUUUUGGGUAGUCCUGCUAUUGCUAUAUGUGGUUUUGGGUGUUGAGAUAAAUUUGACACAUGAUCAUUCUUUAUUAUGAUUGUUGAUUAUUUAUUGUUCAUGAUAAGUUUACUGUGUUAAUUGGAACAUGGAGAACCACCCAGGAAAACAGUGCUACCACAAGGGUAGAACGGGACACCCUUGGCCAAGUAAUUAGGAAAGCUGGGAGAGAUUACCUUACCUGAAAGGGGCAAGCGGGGAGGUGUCGCUGCAGAUUAUAGGGAGGUUCUCGGGUCGGACUGUCUGUUUAGCUUUCCAGACGGGGGAUUCCUAUGCUUCCUUCUUCCUGAAUCCGUAGCGGGUAUUCUCAAACUAGUGGAACUUUGGAAAGGCCUCGUAGUGCUACUCUGCCUUGUCUCCUCGGUAAAGAUGAAUGAGACUUCUAGACCCCUUGGCAAAUGGGUAGCAUGGCUUGUGGGUAAAGAUGUGCAAUCUCUGCAGAGUGUAAAACUGGUAUAUCAGUCGUGCUCACGGUUAUGAGCGGCUCGGACACUCACACGAUUAAUUUAUGGAAGUAAAUUUAAUUUUUCAUUUGCAUCGCAUUGUGGUUUAUUAUUAAUUUUGAUCUACUAUUACUUUGGGUUGGUAUACACCUACAUUUAGUAACUGCUAAAUAAAUUUUUGACCAACUUAUUAAAAACAAUGCUCAGCUUCAACCAUUAUUUAUUGAACAGCCUUACACUUCACAUGAGCUCCCACCUUUGGUGAGUCCAUGCAUAUUAUUCCCCACAACUUGUUGAGCUAUGAUCUUUUGUGAGCUCGCCCUUGCGAUAUAUAACCCCCCCAUAGGUGAAGGCAGGUAGUACAGAAGGAGGUCUACAACGAGGAGUACGAGCUUACCUAGGUAGUGUCUCCCAGUUAGCUUCAUGGCACCAAGGAAUAAUUAAUAGUUCGCUUUAUUAUUAUCAUUUAUUUUUGUAAGACAGUUCCGCUAUGUAAUAAUAUUUUUGACAUUUAUCUCUAUACACUUGGUCAUUAUAUGUGUUGUUCUUCUUUAGCGCACAUAUGAAAUGCACCCGUCUUUAUUCCUUAAAUCUUUAUUCCUUAAAUCCGGGUGUGACAGAAGUGGUAUCAGAGCAAAUGUUGACUGUAGGACGAAACCUAGAUAAAACUAGACAAAACCCUUACUUACUUACCUUUACUCUGAUUCCUUCUAUACUUUUCUUGAUCCAGUCUCACCUUUGGCUGUUCUACUCUAACUAUUCAUAUCUUUUCUACUCUAGAAAGACAAGAAGGAUUUCACACCUUGGAAUCCUGCAUAUAAGAACCUCUAAAGAAAUUGGAGCCCUAAGACAAAAAAAUAAUAUAUAUUUUCUCUAUCUAAAUUGUUUGAAUGUUUGUUCUAAUGAUAAAUGCUUGAUUUGCUUCUUUGAUUGACUGAAAUAGUAUAGCAGGGCAUUCUAGCAUGUACCACCAUAAGGUAAUUAGUAGUUGACACACUACUCUACUGAGCUAUUAAGAUCGCAAAAGAUCAUGUCUCAUAGUUACUUGUAUUAUCUGCAAUUCUAUCUUACCAUGUGUUUCUAACCUAGAUGGUCAAUACCAGGAAGGGAGGCGAUAUCGAUCUACCUGGCAACAGGCAUCGCAGGAGGAUUGCUAACCAACCACAACCAGAGAUGAAUCCUCCAUCGAACCCUCCACCGACUGGGACAGAUUCAGUAGCUGCCGCUGAGAUGCAGCUGCUGCAGAAGAUGGCAAAUACUAUGACGGAAAUGCAAGCUUAGAUGUGUGGCAAGAACGUCAAAAGAUGCGCCAGGAGCAGCAGGAAAUGCGACAGGAGAUGAGAGAAGAACGACAGCAACAACCACCACUACCUCCACCACCACCACCAGCUCCACCCUAGGACAAGUACUGGGAAUUCAUGAGUCACAAGCCAUCCACAUUCUCCAGCUCUCUAGAUCCUCUACAUGCAGAUGAUUGGCUGAAGUCAGUGGAGAAGAUGCUCAAUAUUGCUCAAUGUACUGACCGGGAGAAGGUGCUAUAUGCGUCGGGUUGUCUCACUGGCCCCGCCGUUGAUUGGUGGGACUCCUACUGUGCGGCCCAUGCUGCUGCCAACACUAUCAACUGGGCAAAAUUUUCUACACAAUUUAGGAACUAUCACAUUCCUGCAGGCUUGAUGAAAAUUAAGAAGAAGGAAUUUUUGUCACUUACGCAAGGCAAACUGACAGCUAGUGAAUACCGUGAUAAAUUUAUUUAGCUAUAAAGGUAUGCUUUAGAGGAGGAGGCUGAUGAUGAAAGGAAGCAGGAGCAGUUCAUGGAGGGACUCAUUGGGCCACUCCAGUACCAGCUGGUAUCUCAUACCUUCCCAUCUUUCCAGAGGUUUCUAGACAAGGCUAUAGCUAUUGAACACAAACGUGUUCAGCUGAGUGAGAUGAAGAAGAAGGCUAUCACCUAGGGACAAGGGAGCAGUAGCAUCCGUCCUCGCUAUGUUCCACCCCAGGGUACACCAUCUCGUCCUAGAGGAGGGCAACAGUCCUACCAACGACUGGCUCAUCAGACACCAUAUGCGACUCCACAGACCCCACAUACUCGUCAGGCUGCCCCCACUAGCACCCCAGCGAGACCUGCUGGACACGGUACAGUCACCACUUGCUUCAAGUGUGGUGAGGUUCGGCACUACGCCAAUGCUUGUCCGAAGUGGAACCCAAACACACACGCUCGAAGCAAUAUUCAGGGCAAGCAACAGACUUCGGCUACCGACAAGGGUUUCAGUAUUGCUAGAGUAAACCAAGUUAGUGUUGAUGCUACUACUGACAGUGCUGAUAUUGCUAUCGGUGCAUUUUAUAUUAAUUCAGUUCCUGUAGCUAUAUUAUUUGAUUAUGGAGCUACGCAUUCUUCAUUUUUGCUCGCUAUGUCGACACAAAUGAGUUACCACUUCAAAAUAUGCAAAACCCCAUGAUAGUAAUCACCCUAAAGGGCCUAUUGAAGCAAAUUAUAUGACAAACAAAUUAACACUGACAAUCAUGGGGAGGGAAUUAUGGUCUAUGCCUAUAAUAUUAGAGGAAAGCACUAUAGAUCUGAUACUUGGUAUGUCAUGGUUAAGGAAAGCAAAGGCAGUUAUACAUUGUGCUAGGGGAACCGUAGAACUCACCAGUCCAAAAGGAGAAAAAUUCGAAGUCAUGAUUACCCUAACCCCCUCUACCGGACCCGCCAUAUAUCUAGUAGAUGGUAAAUUUGUGGACAGAAAUAUCCGUGUGGUUGGAGAGUUCCCAGAUGUCUUUCCAGUGGAGUUACCCGGGAUGCCACCCGAUAGGGAAGUUGAGUUUGUUAUUGAUCUCUUACCUGGAACCGCUCCUAUUUCUAAAAGGCCAUACAUGAUGUCAGUGGAAGAAUUAAAAGAACUUAAGAAACAAAUAACAGACUUGCAGGAGGCGGGGUACAUUCGUCCGAGUUCCUCACCUUGGGGAGCACCGGUUCUGUUUGUACAGAAGAAGGAUGGUUCACAAAGGAUGUGUGUUGAUUAUAGAUCACUUAAUGAUGUCACAAUUAAGAAUAAGUAUCCUUUACCUUGUAUCGAAGACUUGUUUGAUCAGAUGAGAGGUGCCAGGGUAUUCUCUAAGAUUGAUCCCAGAUCUGGUUAUCAUCAAAUGAAGAUUAGGCCUUCUGAUAUUCCCAAGACAGCUUUCUCUACCCGAUAUGGUCUAUAUGAGUUCACGGUCAUGUCAUUUGUCUUAAAUAAUGCACCGACCUACUUCAUGAAUCUGAUGAACAAGGUGUUCAUGGAGUAUCUUCAUAAGUUUGUCAUGGUAUUCAUCGACGACAUACUGAUUUAUUCCAAGAAUGAUAGUGACCAUGAGGAACAUCUGUGAUUGGUACUACAUAAGUUAAGGGAUAAUCAACUCUAUGCCAAGUAUAGCAAGUGUGAGUUCUAACUUGUCGAAGUAGCAUUUCUUGGACACAUCAUCUCCAAUGGAGGAAUAUUAGUAGAUCCUACUAAAGUGAGAGAGAUAGUGGGAUGAAAGAUACCAAGUUCUGUCACGGAAAUCUGGAGUUUUCUAGGACUCGCGGGUUAUUACCAGUGUUUUAUUGAGGGGUUCUCCAAGAUAGCAAAUCCUAUGACCUCACUAUUGGAGAAAGAAAAAGAGUUUAAGUGGACUCAUGAAUGUCAAGAAAGUUUCAAUGGACUGAUGUUUUGAUUGAUGUCGCCCCCAAUAUUGAUUAUGCCAGAUCUACAGAAGGGAUUUGAUAUAUAUUGUGAUGUGUGCCACCAGGGCUUGGGAUGUGUCCUUAUGCAAGAAGGACAUGUCAUUGCCUACGCGUCUCGCCAGUUGCGGAAACAUGAGUUGAACUACCCCACUCAUGACUUAGAACUGGCAGCCAUAGUGCAUGCUCUCAAGAUUUAGAGGCAUUAUAUUAUGGGAACUAAGUGCCAAGUCUAUACUGAUCAUAAGAGUUUAAAGUAUUUCUUCACUCAGAAAGAUCUAACCUUAGGCAACGCCGUUGGUUGGAGCUCAUCAAACAUUAUGACUUGGAGAUUCACUAUCAUCCAGACAAGUUGAAUCUUGUUGCAGAUGCCUUGAGUUGGAAAGAACAUGUUCAUGCAGCUAUUGUUACCCAAUUACCUGAUGAGUUAGCAGAAGAUUUUGCAAAGCUCAACCUAGGAAUAGUUGCUCAUGCAGAAGGAGUUACCAUAGAGGUAGAACCUACCUUGGAGCAAGAAAUACAAAAGGGUCAAAUCGGUUAUGUUAAAAUUCAGGAGAUCAAAGAUCUAAUGGCAGAAGGUAGAGGUCUAGACUUCAUGGAGGAUGAGCAGGGCACGAUCUGGUUCAAGAACAUGAUUUGUGUCCCUGAGAUUGAUAGUCUUCAUGAAACCAUAUUGAUGGAAGCACAUGACUCAGCCUACACCAUUCAUCCUGGCAGUACUAAGAUGUAUCAUGAUCUGAAACAAAAGUAUUGGUGGUAUGGUCUGAAAAGGGGUGUUGCUUCACAUGUGGCAGUGUAUGAUGUUUGCUAGAGGGUAAAAGAUGAACAGCAGAGACCAGCUGGAUUACUUCACCCACUAAAUGUACCCGAGUGGAAGUGGGAAGAAAUUGGUAUGGACUUCAGUGUUGGUCUACCUUGCACUUUUGCUAGGUAUGACUCUAUUUGGGUGAUUGUGGAUAAACUAACAAAAGUGGCUCACUUCAUUCCUGUGAGGACUAAUUACACGGGGGCCAAGCUAGCUGAGUUGUAUAUGGCCCGGAUAGUUUGUCUACACGGAGUACCUAAGAAGAUCGUGUCAGACCGGGGAUCUGAAUUCACUUCUUGGUUUUGGCAUAAGUUCAACGAGUGCUUGGACACGAAGUUGAAUUUCAGCGCGGCCUACCAUCCUCAAACUGAUGGGCAGACCGAGAGAACCAACCAAGUACUAGAAGAUAUGUUAACAACUUGUGCUCUUAAACAUGGUGGCGGUUGAGAUAAGAGUUUACCCUAUGCAGAGUUGUCUUACAAUGACAGUUACCAGGACAGUUUGAAGAUGUCCCCGUUUGAGGCUUUAUAUGACAGAAAAUGCAGGACUCCUCUAUACUGGGAUCAAACUGGUGAAAGGCAGUUCUUUGGGCUAGAAAUUAUACAAGAGGCAAAAGAACAAGUCCGAUUGAUAAGGGAGGAUUUGAGAACUGCGCAGUCCAGGCAGAAAAGCUAUGCAGAUACCCGGAGAAGGCAGUUAGAGUUUGAGGAGGGUGAUCACGUGUAUCUGAAGGUGUCACCGAUCCUGGGUAUGAGGAGGUUUAAAGUUAAAGGAAAGUUGUCCCCUCGCUUUAUUAGACCCUUCAAGAUCCUAAAGCAAGUGGGGGAUGUUGCCUAUCAAUUGGAACUAACCGACCAUCUAGCAGAUGUACAUGAUGUAUUCCAUGUAUCCGAGUUGAAGAAGUGCCUCAUGGUACCAGAAGAGCAACUAGCCAUGGAGGAACUUAGUGUUCAAGAUGAUCUGACUUAUAUUGAGUAUCCUAUCAAGAUCACUGAUACUUUGACUCAUGUUACGAGGAAUAAAGUGAUCAAAAUGUGCAAAGUGCAAUGGAGUCAUCACAGUGAAGAUGAAGCUACUUGGGAGAGAGAAGAAGAACUACGAAUAGAAUUUCCCCACCUCUUCCCUAGUUCAUCUUAAUCUCAAGGUCGAGAUUCCUUUUAAGGCGAGUAGGAUUUGUAAACCCUAGUAUAGAGUACCCAUGACUCUAGUCAGUUGAGAAAUAAUAAAGGAGGCAUUUUGAGUAUGUGACUUAUUCAUGAGGCAUAUUUCUUUUAACUAAAUACCAAAUAAACACAUGAUAUUAUGCAUCAUGCUGGAAUUCCUUUGUUUGUGCAUUAAAACUCAAACUUAUAAUUAAAACAAAAACAAAUCUAGCUUUGAAUUCAAAUUUGUGCUCUAAAAAAUAUAGGAGUAAAGGAGUGAAAAAUAAUAGGAACAAAAAUAAAUAAAUAAAUAAGGCAAAUAGUUGGAGUUAUAUUCACAUUUAGAAUUCUAUUAAAUUUUGCAAGACUGAAAAUUCAAAGCCAGAAUUUGAAUUUAGUUUUAAUCUUUGAUUUGGAGAUAAAAUAGGAAUUUUUAAAAGAAAAAGAAAGAAGAAGUCAGCUGGGCCGCUACUCCCCAUUUUGGCCAAGUGAACCCAUUGUCGCGGCCUAUUCUCGUGCACGCGCACCCAGUGCCACUGUAGAGUGGGACCCACUCAUCUGCGUCUUACACGCACUCUGGCCGUAGGAUCCUUGCGCCGAUAAUACAGUUCCACGCGCCAGCCUCACCCCUCACCAUCCUGCAGGGCGCUUGUGCCUGGGGUGUCGGUCACCGAGUCGUAGGACCCAUGCCGCAGCUCCGGCUCAGCUGCUAAUCUGCCAUUGUCGCAACAACCCUACCGGAACACGCACGCUCCAGCCUGGCAUAGCAAUGGCCUCCCAACCACCCCGCAUCGAGCACGGGCCUAUAUGACCUAUGCCACCGCAACUCCGAUCCCUUGAUUUGGGCGAAUCGAAGUUAGCCAUGGUCUUGAGCACGGAAGGAGGGCGUGAACGAAGAAAUUGGAGGGGCACCGUAGUCGAUUGUGCCCGUACACCGUUGGAGGGUCCGUGGGCCGUGUCCGGGAGCUUCCCUAAGCUGCCACGGAUCUAUCGUCUUGGGCAUGUGUGACGGUCGGCGAGCAGCAAUAUCUCACCGAACUUCAAGUUCGUCGCACAACUACGCACCACCGUGGAUUGCGCCGGUAGUGUCUAGCUCCCCGGUGAGAACCUUUUAUUCCCUUAAGGAGUAGAUUUCGUUUGGUUUUGAGUUCGGGGGCACCUGCUGUAGAACUAACGACCGGAGUUGUAGCGACGUUGCUACAUCACAACGCGCCAUGGCCUUGCUUUCGUCUACCCCUAUGUCCGGAAUUGGAUAACCCUCACCACUCGUUAGUUCUUCCACAUGGGGUAGCUCAUGUCUUGCGUGGGUCGCAGCGCCAAGGCUGCUGACUUACGUCGCCGGUGAUUCGUUCCGCCGUGGGCACGGUGGAGCCAUCGUGUUUGGUGGGAGUCCUCAGGUGGAAGACGGCCCCUGUCCGUUGGUUUUCUGAUGAGCGAGUGAGAUUGAGUCGGGCUAUAGCAUUUCGAGGAUUCGAUCACGAUCGUCGAUUGUCUAUCGGGUGGCCUUCCUGGGGCCCUAGUGUCCACCGUCGAUCUUAGGAUCAACGGUCUUGGAGAAAAGCCCUGUAAGGUUGGGCCGAUCUAAUCUGGACCCUAGAUUUCAGAUCGGGUGGCCCAAGUCUCAUGCUACCCUUUUGUCGUGCCAUUUUCACUUAAGAGCCCCCAAGAGAAUUAGGAUUUAACCCCCCGUCCUCUACAGUAGAAAAAGUGUUGUAGUCAGGUCCUCAGCUUUAUAAUUUUGACCCUAGGCUUUCACCAUAUUAUGCUCGUAGUCCAAUCAGUUGUAUAAUUAGUAAAAAUACAUUGAAAUUGAGUUUCUUAUAUAAAAAUAAUUCCAGAAUCUCAUUUAAUUCAUAGAAAAUUCAUUUAACUCCUUUUUGAUCCAUUUCAGUUGCAUUAAUAUUGUUUAUCAUCUGGUAACUCGGUUUUAUCAUUAAAGAUAUAUUAAAAUUAUCCACUUAAUUUAUUGUAUACUAGGCACUUAAAACUUUGAACAAUCAUAACUCUUUAACCAUAACUCCGAAUUUAGUGAUUCUCGAACCUGCGGUCUUGUUACGAUGCAUAGAAUAUUAUCAUGCAUUCUAUUAUGACGUUUGGUGUGAUGUUAAUAUCUCCUGUACCAUGUUGGUUUUUAUUAUGGCGAGUAGACGAGCAAGCAACUGAGGACCCUGGAGCUCAGAGGUGGAAACUAUUGAACAUGAGCUCGUUGAAGGCAAGUUGUGCCCUUGACCAUUUUUAUUUACCCAAUAAUGUUCUCUAUAAUCAUUAUGGAAUGUUUAGGCUUAUUUUUGAUGCGACUCAAUAGGUCACCCUAGUCUGCUUUAUCUUGUGCCUUGAUCACCACUGAACUUUUGGGCAGUCCUGCUUUUGCUAUAUGUGGUUUUGGGUGUUGAGAUAAAUUUGACACAUGAUCAUUCUUUAUUAUUAUUGUUGAUUAUUUAUUGUUCAUGACAAGAUUACUGUGUUAAUUGGAACAUGGAGAAAACACCCAGGAAAACAGUGCUACCACAAGGGUGGAAUGGGACACCCUUGGCCAAGUAAUUAGGAAAGCUAGGCUGAGAUUACCUUACCUGAAAGAGGCAAGCGGGGAGGCGUUGCUGCAGAGUAUAGGGAGGUUCUCGGGUCAGACUGUCUAUUUAGCUUUCCAGACGAGGGAUUCCUAUGCUUCCUUCUUCAUGAAUCCGUAGCGGGUUUUCUCCUACUAGUGGAACUUUGGAAAGACCUGGUAGUGCUACCCUUCCUCGUCUCCUCGGUAGAGAUGAAUAGGACUUCUAGACCCCUUGACAAAUGGGUAGCAUGGCUUGUGGGUAAAGAUGUGCAACCUCUGCAGGGUGUAAAACAAGUAUAUCAGCCGUGCUCACGGUUAUGAGCAGCUCAGACACUCACAUGAUUAAUUUAUGGAAGUAAAUUUAAUUUGUCAUUUGUAUCGCAUUGUGAUUUAUUAUUAAUUUUGAUCUACUAUUACUUUGGUUUGGUAUACACUUACAUUUAGUAACUGCUAAUAAAAUUUGACCAACUUAUUAAAAGCAAUGCUCAGCUUUAACCAUUAUUUAUUGAUCAGCCUUACACUUCACAUGAGUUCCCACCUUUGGUUAGUUCAUGCACAUUAUUCCCCACAACAUGUUGAGUUAUGAUCUUUUGUGAGCAUACCCUUGCGAUAUAUAAACCUCCCCCCACAGGUGAAGAGCAGGUAGUCCAGGAGGAGGUCUACAAUGAGGAGUACGAGCUUAUCUAGGUGGCGUCUCCCAGUCUGCUUGAUGGCGCCAAGGAAUAAUUAAUAGUUCGCUUUAUUAUUAUAAUUUAUUUUUGUAAGACACUUCCGCUAUGUAAUAAUAUUUGUGACAUUUAUCUCUAUACACUUGGUCAUUAUAUGUGUUGUUCUUGUUUGGCGCACAUAU